rnacentral:lncRNA from 1 species
ACUUUCUUUCCGAUUAAUAGCUCAAACAGAAGAACCCCAAAGCUGUAGACAUCAGUUUUUUGAGUACUAAUACCUGAGGCGAUAUUUUCUGGAGCUAUAUACCCAUAUGUUCCACACACAAUAUCUACUACCUCCAAUUCCCCUGGAGGUAAUGAUAUGGAGAGUGAGAAGUCCAAUAUUUUGGCAGCGCCGCUCUUCUCAUCUAUUAUCACAUUAGAUGGCUUUAUAUUUCUGUGGAUGAUGGGCGUAGAAAAUUCAGUAUGGAGGAAAACGAUUGCAGAAGCGACGUCACGUGCAACUCGUAAUCUAUUUCCCCAACAUAGCGAUUUUCUAUUAAGAUUAACCUUUUUGAAAAGUAGAUCGCUCAGAGUUAUAGCCCCAACAUAUUGAUACACCAUAACUGGUUGUUCAAAUUCUAGACAGCAACCAACAAGUCUCAACACAUUCUUCAGAUGACUCAUCUGAGCAGUAAUCGCUAUAUCUCGGUGGAUAUUUCUGGAUAAACAAAAUUUGUUGAAUCUAACUAAAACAGGGCGGUUGUCCAGCGAGCCCAUAACCAUAUCCACUUUGUCAAGCUUCAUUAUUGUGGUUUUAGAGUGUUUUAUUGCAUUGUUGAUCUCUAUGGCAGAGAAGUAACGGAUGGGAAUUCUGCAAUUUCCGUCGCAUAAAGCAAGAAGCUCCUCAAGCACGCGACUUCCAUUCUGUAAAUAACAAUCAUGCUCUUUCUUCCGUCUUUCUGCAGAGGCGGAGGAAAAAAGUUUUUUCCUUGUGAGUAGUCCUCUGAAAAAAGGCAUCUCUAAUUUUGGAAGUGACUAGUCUGGAUGAAUUGCGAUUAAAUCCAAUAAGGCAUAUCACUACUCACAAGUGGGAAGCUGCUUCCUGCUGGUCUUAAUUUGUGCAUUCAAUUCCAUACAAAAUGACAACAAAUUGAGUUUCCAAGCACUUUCAUUGAAAAUUAACAAUGGGGAGGCAUAUCAGUGUGGGUCACAAGGAUGGAAUAUUGCAUGCAAUUGGAAAAACGUCUGUCAUAUAGUGCCUUACAACUUACAAGGCAUGGGGUCCGGCCCGUCUUAUAAGUGUGGUCACUCUCACGUCUUACAUCGUAAGUUAGCGACCAUUAACCUUUUUUGGCAUAAUAUUUGAAGACAAACUACUUGAUUAGACAUACAUUACUAACAUGUAUACUAAUUUUACGAGUCCGGAGCCAAAAAGGUAAGAAAGUUUUUCAAAAAUUUCAAAAGGGCAACAAAAUUAAUUAUAAAACCAAAAGGGCAACUUUCUGACGGAGAAUCAAACAACGUCUAAAAUAGGGUAGCCGGCGCAAUGCACGGAUUUCCAUGCACCUUGCAAGGCGCAGCUGUCAUGAGCCCUGUAAGGCUCUGCCGUCAUGCGCCUUGCAAGGCCCAUGGAAAUCAGCGCCUUGCGGCUGUUUUAUUUUUUUAAAUUUUUUUGUUCAUUAUUAAAAAACGAGUUAAAUUUUCAAUGGUUUGAAAAUUAUAAAGUAUAGAACAAUUGACUUCAUAUUUGGUGUUAGUCAGUGGGAUAUUAGGAAAAAAGUGACAUUUUAUUGAAGACACUACAAUUAGUUAGCUAGUUAGUAAUUAGCUAAAUUAGUUAGUUAGUUGUAGAUUAGCUGACGUGGCAGAGUAGUUAGUUAAUAGUACAAGUUAGUUAUAACUAACUUGAUCAGUGGUGUGAAGUAAAGCACAUGUAUAUAUAUUCUGUAGAAUACUCUGUAACCAACUCAUUCAAUACAAUACACAAUUUUAUUCUUUACUGUUGAUCUUCUUCCUCUUAGACUCACAGAACCUCCAUUGGAGGACUUAACAUGGUAUCAGAGCUAGAGAUCGGAUCAACAACAAUGGCUACUGAAAAUGAGCUCGUUAUUCCUUACACACACCCUCUCUACUUGCAUCCAUCGGAUACUCCAGGAUCUGUGCUCUGUCCUGUUAAGUUGACAGGAUCGGAGAACUAUGGGUUAUGGCGGAGGUCCAUGCGAAUUGCUUUGCAAGCUAAGAGGAAGCUGGGUUUUGUGAUUGGAACCUGUAAGAAGGCAAGUUUUGAAACUAAGUAUCAUGAUCAAUGGGAUACCUGUAAUGCAAUUGUUCUUUCAUGGCUUAUGAACACAGUAGCUCAUAAUAUCUUAAGUGGCAUUGUCUGAGUGCCCAAAGUCGAAGGAUUAUGUUGAGCAUUUGCGACAACAACGACUGAUUCAAUUUCUUGGAGGUCUAAAUGAGUCACAUUCUCAGUCGAGGAGGCAGAUCCUUAUGAAGACUUCUGAGCCAACUCUCAAUCAGGCGUAUGCAAUGAUAGUGGAGGAGGAGAGUCAAAGUUCUGAUGUGGAUCGUAAUACCUUAGGAUUGAAGGCUGUAUCUGAAGGAAAUGAUAUCACAGCACUAUUGACUGCUGCGAAAACUUUUCAAAAACCUCGAUACAAGAAUCCUAAUGCCUUUUGUGAUCACUGCAAGACGAAAGGUCACCUGAAGAGUGAUUGUUUUCAGCUAGUAGGAUAUCCUUCUUGGUUUAAAGGAAAGAAGAAAGAGGGAUACAAUGUGCAAUAUAAUGGAUCUGCUUCACCUCAUACUCCACCUGUGUUUAAAUCCUGAGUAUGGUGGUCAUAAUGCAGGGCAUAUGCCUGCACCUCUUUAUGGCAAUUUAUCCUUUACUCACAAUCAUAAUGCUGCAGGUGAUAUUGGCAGAUCUGUUGGGGGCAAUAGUCACAUAGAAACUCACACUUAUGGCACUGCUGGUUUUCCUACAACUCCAGGAUCUGGUGUUUUUACUCGAGCAUCUGCAGAUAUGUGCAUUCCUGGAUAUGGAAAUACAGGCUCUCAUGGUCAUGGAGUUAGUGGCAUAAAUAUGGCUUUCACAGGAGCUCACUCAUCUGAUACUGCAGGUAUUGUCAAUUGCUCUGUAGUACAUAAUUCACCUGGUUCUAGGUGGAUAGUAGACACAGGGGCCACUAAUCACAUGACAUCUACUCCCACUUUGCUUUGUGAAACUCAAUGUUUACCUCCAAAUUAGCUCAACAAAGUUCACCUGCCUAAUGGUCAACAAGUACCAAUUGCUCUUACUGAGAAAUCUAGACUCAUGCAGAGAGACAUAUCUCAUGUUUUGUAUAUUCCUGAUUUUAACUACAACUUGUUAUUAGUUUCUAAACUGACUAGAGAACUACAAUGUUGUAUGGUGUUUUUAUCCUGAUCAUUGCCUACUGCAGGACCUUCACACUGGGGAGGUGAAGGGGACUGGUAGUCUGGAGAAUGGUUUAUACUAUUGGCCACACAAUGAUUCUUCCAUUAUUGCUCUUUCAACUGCUUUAAGCGUGGUGGAUACUGUUGAUCUGUGGCAUAGAAGACUAGGUCAUAUUCCUCACAAGGUUCUUCAGCAAAUGCAUAUACCACAUGUAUCACUUCCUUCCAAAUUACCUUCUUGUCCUGUUUGUCCAUUGGCAAAACAAACUAGGUUGCCUUUUCCUCAAAGUACCAGUAGAUCUAAUAAAGUGUUUGAGCUGAUUCAUGGUGAUGUUUGGGGUCCAUACAGAACCCCCACUUAUGAUGGCAAUAGAUAUUUUCUUACUUUAGUAGAUGAUUGUAGUAGGAUGGUGUGGAUAUUUCUUCUCAAACAGAAAAGUGAUGUGUUCUUUGUACUGAAGGAUUUUCUGACUCUAAUAAACAGGUAGUUUGAUGGCUUUAUCAGAGUUUUCAGAAGUGAUAAUGGUUCUGAAUUCUUUAACUUUCAUUGUCAUGAAUUGUUCAGAUCUGCAGACAUUAUUCAUCAAAGCUCUUGUGCCUAUACCCCUCAACAGAAUGGGGUUGUAGAGAGGAGACAUAGGCAGAUUCUAGAGGUUUCUCGAGCCAUUAGGUUCCAAGCAAAUUUACCUAUCAGAUUCUGGGGUCUAUGUGUACAGAAUGCUUUUUACUUAAUCAAUAGAAUGCCAUCUACUGCUCUUGCAGGGAAAUCUCCAUUUGCUGCAUUUUUUGGCAGGGAACCUUGUUUGAAACAUCUCAGGGUUGUUGGCUGCUUAUGCUAUGCUGUUAAUCAUAGUACCAACGGUGACAAGUUUGAUCAUAGGUCUAUUAAAUCAGUGUUUGUGGGAUAUUCUACUACACAAAAGGGGUAUAGACUAUAUAAUUUGUCCACCAAGUCCUUUUUUGUUAGCCGGGAUGUCAUUUUUAGAGAGGAUGAAUAUCCUUUCAAGUCUACUCUGACUGCGAUUCCUGAAUCCUAUCUAAAUAAUCCUCCUGACAUGUUUGUUUAUGAUGAUCAGAAUACUUCUAUUUUAUUACCAGAUAUUCCUGCUGCACCACUUGACUUGCCUCAUAUACCCACUGUUCAGCCUUAUGUACCCUCUGUUCAACCUCCACUUUCCUUACCUUCUGAGGAUCUUAUUCCUCCUACCAAUGAGCCAAGUCUUAGAAAGUCGGGUCGAUCCUCUAAACAACCUGGUUGGCUCCAUGGUUUUGUUCAUACUGUUGCUAGUUUUCCUUCACAUCCUGUCCCUUGUUUUACUGCUCAUCCUCAGUCCACUUAUAUGUCUUAUGCAUCCAUAUCCCCUGCUUAUUUUCAGUCCUUGUGCAAUUUCUCUGCUAUACGGGAACCUACUUCUUAUGAAGAGGCCAUGCACAACCUAUAGUGGAUUCAAGCCAUGGAUCAAGAACUGCAGGCCCUCCAUGAUAAUCACACUUGGGAUUUGGUUACUCUGCCUCCUGGCAAGAAGGCUAUAGGGUGUAAGUGGGUCUAUAAAGUCAAGUUUAAUGCUCAAGGAGAGGUUGAGAGGUAUAAAGCUCGACUGGUAGCUAAGGGUUACACUCAGCAAGAGGGCUUGGAUUACCAGGAAACAUUUUCUCCGGUUGUCAAGAUGGUUACUGUGAGGGUGGUUCUUUCUUUGGCUGAUAUGCAUGGGUGGAAUUUACAUCAGAUGGAUGUGUUUAAUGCAUUUCUGCAAGGUGAUUUAGUGGAGGAUGUGUAUAUGGUUCCUCCACCUGGUCUACUAAGCAAGGGGGAGUCUCCAGAUGGAUGUGUUUAAUGCAUUUCUGCAAGGUGAUUUAGUGGAGGAUGUGUAUAUGGUUCCUCCACCUGGUCUACUUAGCAAGGGGGAGUCUCCUUCAGUUUGUAAGCUCAGGAAGUCCCUUUAUGGCUUAAAACAAGCAUCUCGUCAAUGGAACUUGAAGCUAUGUGAAGCUCUUCUGAGUUCAGGUUUUCUACAAAGUCAUCAUGACUACUCCUUGUUCAGCAAAUGUUCUGGUUCUGAUUUAGUUCUCAUCCUCGUUUAUGUGGAUGAUCUUUUGAUCACUGGUUCCUGUUCUCAGUUAAUUCUUGAUACCAAGCUGAUGCUUCAGACUCAUUUCAAGAUCAAGGACUUGGGGAGAUGAGAUACUUCCUUGGUCUUGAAAUUGCCAGGAACAAAGAGGGUAUCAUGGUAAGUCAAAGAAAGUUUGCCUUAGAUCUUAUCUCAGAUUUUGGUCUUGCAGGAACCAAACCAGUUAGUACUCCUUUGGAGGUUAAUCAAAGGUUCACUAGUCAGGAGUUUGACAUGCAUUUGGAACCUCAGGAAGCACAUGAAGAUAUGAUACUCAGUGAUCCCUCAAGCUAUCAGAAACUGGUUGGUAAGUUACUUUACCUCACCAUGACAAGGCCGGAUACUAGCUAUGCAGUACCGAAUCUUUGCCAAUUUAUGCACAAACCAAAGAAAUCUCACAUGGAGGGUGCAUUGAGGGUGGUCAAAUAUUUGAAGAAUGCACCAGGUUUAGGAAUUAUGUUGUCAUCCAAAGCCUCCAAGCAACUCUCAGUUUAUUGUGAUGCUGACUGGGCCACUUGUCCUAUGACAAGGAAGUCUGUGAGUGGUUUUGUAGUAAAGAUUGGAGACUCUUUGAUUUCAUGGAAGUCGAAGAAACAAAACACAGUGUCAAGGAGUUCGGCUGAAGCAGAAUAUAGGAGCAUGGCUAAUGCAAUGGCAGAAAUUGUAUGGUUAAUAGGUUUGUACAAAGAGUUGAAAGUGGAAUUGGAAUUGCCAGUAAGACUAUUUUGUGAUAGUAAAGCAGCACUUCAAAUUGCUGCUAAUCCUAUAUACCAUGAAAGGACGAAACAUAUAAAGAUUGAUUGUCAUUUCAUUCGAGAAAAGAUACAAGAGGGCCUUAUUCAAACAGACCACGUACCUUCAAAAAUGCAACUGGCAGAUGUACUGACAAAGAGUUUGGGAAGAACUCAACACGAUUUUUUACUGUCCAAGCUUGGUGUAUAUAAUCUGUUUGCACCGUACAGCUUGAGGGGGAGUAUUGAAGACACUACAAUUAGUUAGCUAGUUAGUAAUUAGCUAAAUUAGUUAGUUAGUUGUAGAUUAGCUGACGUGGCAGAGUAGUUAGUUAAUAGUACAAGUUAGUUAUAACUAACUUGAUCAGUGGUGUGAAGUAAAGCACAUGUAUAUAUAUUCUGUAGAAUACUCUGUAACCAACUCAUUCAAUACAAUACACAAUUUUAUUCUUUACUAUUGAUCCUCUUCCUCUUAGACUCACAGAACCUCCAUUGGAGGACUUAACACAUUUUAUCCCCUCAUUUUUUAAUUUGAUUAAUUAAAUUCAAUUCUAACCGUGUAAUAAAAACGUAAAAAGAGUAGAUCAAAGUGUGAAAACUUUUAUGCCAUGGAAUAUAGCAUCAAAAUGGCAAUUUCAUUGUCUGCAGAUCUUAUUUUUGUUUAUUAACAUAAAUAUGAGGGUUCAAACAAACUGAAUUUCCUUUAAAUUGGAACCUAAUAUGAAUAAUUUAAAGAAUUAAAAAUAAACAUUUAAUUUUGAGUAAGAGCCAGGUCACGGAAACAUUUUUCCAUUCGACAUAAUUCCCUUGCGACAUGAAUAAUGUAUGGCCUAUCAUCUCCUUUCAAAGUUGUGCAUUUCUUAACGAGAUCCAAGUAGUCCUCCAAUUGUUGUUGAAUCUCAAUUCCAUGUUCUUCUAAGAUAGUAGGAUCUGCAAUAUCCAUUACAUUACUCUCUUUAAUAUAACGAUCGACAAAAUUGGUUGGAAAUUUUUUUAGAUCUAUGGUCUCUUCCAGAAUUACAGAAUCCAUAAAGUUAUCUUCUUCAACAGCGUCUUCUUCAUCAAUAUCUGUUGUCUCUUUUGAAUUCACUCUAUCUAUAAUAUCAUACGCUGUCUUUCCUGUUAAUAGUAGAAAGAGAAGAAUCCCAAAGCUGUAGACAUCAGUUUUUUGAGUAAUAAUACUCUGGUAGUAAUAUUCUGGAUCUACAUACCCUAAUGUUCCACACACACCAUCACGUUGUAGCUCCAAUUCCCCUGGAGGUAAUGAUAUGGAGAGUGAGAAGUCCACUAUUUUGGCAACACCACUCUUGUCAUCUAUUAUCACUUUGUAAGGCUUUAUAUCUCUGUGGAUGAUGGGCGUAGUAAAUUCAGUAUGGAGGAAAAGGAUUGCAGAAGCAACCUCACGUGCA